UACGAAGGGUGCAAGCGUUAAUCGGAAUUACUGGGCGUAAAGGGCGCGUAGGCGGCGUGUCAAGUCAGGCGUGAAAGCCCCGGGCUCAACCUGGGAACCGCGCUUGAGACUGGCAUGCUCGAGUUCGGGAGAGGAUGGUGGAAUUCCCAGUGUAGAGGUGAAAUUCGUAGAUAUUGGGAAGAACACCGAUGGCGAAGGCAGCCAUCUGGACCGACACUGACGCUGAGGCGCGAAAGCGUGGGGAGCAAACAGG
rnacentral:rRNA from 1 species